CGAAGGAGGCUAGCGUUGUUCGGAAUUACUGGGCGUAAAGCGCGCGCAGGCGGUCUUCCAAGUCAGUGGUGAAAGCCCGGAGCUCAACUCCGGAACUGCCAUUGAAACUGUUAGACUUGAGGACGAGAGAGGUGAGUGGAAUUCCCAGUGUAGAGGUGAAAUUCGUAGAUAUUGGGAAGAACACCGGUGGCGAAGGCGGCUCACUGGCUCGUAUCUGACGCUCAGGCGCGAUAGCGUGGGGAUCAAACAGGAUUAGAUACCCUGGUAGUCCACGCCGUAAACGAUGAAUGCUAGCCGUUGGGUAGCUUGCUAUUCAGUGGCGCAGCUAACGCAUUAAGCAUUCCGCCUGGGGAGUACGGCCGCAAGGUUG
rnacentral:rRNA from 1 species